UAGGGAAUCUUCCACAAUGGACGCAAGUCUGAUGGAGCAACGCCGCGUGAGUGAAGAAGGUUUUCGGAUCGUAAAGCUCUGUUGUUGGUGAAGAAGGAUAAAGGCAGUAACUGGUCUUUAUUUGACGGUAAUCAACCAGAAAGUCACGGCUAACUACGUGCCAGCAGCCGCGGUAAUACGUAGGUGGCAAGCGUUGUCCGGAUUUAUUGGGCGUAAAGCGAGCGCAGGCGGAAUGAUAAGUCUGAUGUGAAGGCCCACGGCUCAACCGUGGAACUGCAUCGGAAACUGUCAUUCUUGAGUGCAGAAGAGGAGAGUGGAACUCCAUGUGUAGCGGUGGAAUGCGUAGAUAUAUGGAAGAACACCAGUGGCGAAGGCGGCUCUCUGGUCUGCAACUGACGCUGAGGCUCGAAAGCAUGGGUAGCGAACAGGAUUAGAUACCCUGGUAGUCCAUGCCGUAAACGAUGAGCGCUAGGUGUUGGGGACUUUCCGGUCCUCAGUGCCGCAGCAAACGCAUUAAGC
rnacentral:rRNA from 1 species